CACGUAGGGGGCGAGCGUUGUCCGGAUUUAUUGGGCGUAAAGAGCUCGUAGGCGGCUCAGUAAGUCGGGUGUGAAAACUCCAGGCUCAACCUGGAGACGCCACCUGAUACUGCUGUGGCUAGAGUCCGGUAGGGGAGCAUGGAAUUCCUGGUGUAGCGGUGAAAUGCGCAGAUAUCAGGAGGAACACCGGUGGCGAAGGCGGGUCUCUGGGCCGAUAUUGACGCUGGAGGAGCGAAAGCGUGGGGAGCGAACAGG
rnacentral:rRNA from 1 species